rnacentral:rRNA from 1 species
AUUGAACGCUGGCGGAAUGCUUUACACAUGCAAGUCGAACGGCAGCACGGACUUCGGUCUGGUGGCGAGUGGCGAACGGGUGAGUAAUGUAUCGGAACGUGCCCAGUCGUGGGGGAUAACGUAGUGAAAAUUACGCUAAUACCGCAUACGAUCUAUGGAUGAAAGCGGGGGAUCGCAAGACCUCGCGCGAUUGGAGCGGCCGAUAUCAGAUUAGGUAGUUGGUGGGGUAAAGGCCCACCAAGCCAACGAUCUGUAGCUGGUCUGAGAGGACGACCAGCCACACUGGAACUAAGACACGGUCCAGACUCCUACGGGAGGCAGCAGUGGGGAAUUUUGGACAAUGGGCGAAAGCCUGAUCCAGCCAUUCCGCGUGCAGGAUGAAGGCCCUCGGGUUGUAAACUGCUUUUGUACAGAACGAAAAGGUUUCUACUAAUACUAGGAGCUCAUGACGGUACUGUAAGAAUAAGCACCGGCUAACUACGUGCCAGCAGCCGCAGUAG